rnacentral:rRNA from 1 species
AACGAACGCUGGCGGCAGGCUUAACACAUGCAAGUCGAGCCCCCCGCAAGGGAGCGGCAGACGGGUGAGUAACGCGUGGAAAUCUACCCAUCUCUACGGAACAACUCCGGGAAACUGGAGCUAAUACCGUAUACGUCCUUCGGGAGAAAGAUUUAUCGGAGAUGGAUGAGCCCGCGUUGGAUUAGCUAGUUGGUGGGGUAAUGGCCUACCAAGGCGACGAUCCAUAGCUGGUCUGAGAGGAUGAUCAGCCACACUGGGACUGAGACACGGCCCAGACUCCUACGGGAGGCAGCAGUGGGGAAUAUUGGACAAUGGGCGCAAGCCUGAUCCAGCCAUGCCGCGUGAGUGAUGAAGGCCCUAGGGUUGUAAAGCUCUUUCAACGGUGAAGAUAAUGACGGUAACCGUAGGAGAAGCCCCGGCUAACUUCGUGC